AGGACGAACGCUGGCGGCGUGCUUAACACAUGCAAGUCGAGCGGUAAGGCCUUUCGGGGUACACGAGCGGCGAACGGGUGAGUAACACGUGGGUGAUCUGCCCUGCACUUCGGGAUAAGCCUGGGAAACUGGGUCUAAUACCGGAUAUGACCUCAGGUUGCAUGACUUGGGGUGGAAAGAUUUAUCGGUGCAGGAUGGGCCCGCGGCCUAUCAGCUUGUUGGUGGGUAAUGGCCUACCAAGGCGACGACGGGUAGCCGACCGUGAGAGGGUGACCGGCCACACGUGGGACUGAGACACGGCCCAGACUCCGUACGGGAGGCAGCAGGUGGGAAUAGUGCACAAUGGGACGAAAGCCUGAUGCAGCGACGCCGCGUGAGG
rnacentral:rRNA from 1 species